rnacentral:rRNA from 1 species
ACUCCUACGGGAGGCAGCAGUAGGGAAUCUUCCGCAAUGGGCGAAAGCCUGACGGAGCAACGCCGCGUGAGUGAAGAAGGUCUUCGGAUCGUAAAACUCUGUUAUUAGGGAAGAACAAAUAUGUAAGUAACUAUGCACGCUUGAUCGGUGACCUAAUCAGAAAGCCACGGCUAACUACGUGCCAGCAGCCGCGGUAAUACGUAGGUGGCAAGCGUUAUCCGGAAUUAUUGGGCGUAAAGCGCGCGUAGGCGGUUUUUAAGUCUGAUGUGAAAGCCCACGGCUCAACCGUGGAGGGUCAUUGGAAACUGGAAAACUUGAGUGCAGAAGAGGAAAGUGGAAUUCCAUGUGUAGCGGUGAAAUGCGCAGAGAUAUGGAGGAACACCAGUGGCGAAGGCGACUUUCUGGUCUGUAACUGACGCUGAUGUGCGAAAGCGUGGGGAUCAAACAGGAUUAGAUACCCUGGUAGCUACGAGU